UUGAGUACUAAUGACACCACCACUGAUUGUUUUGACAGUCAAAAAACAGUCAAUCAAAUUACAAUAACGUUGAUGGUUCUAAUAUACAACAACAAAUUCACACACUAGCCUAGUGACACCACUGAAUGUUUUGACAGCCAUUCAAGUUACGAUAGUGAUGUUAUCACAGCACACAACGUAGUGGGUUCUGCUCCGAAAGACAUACAGCAAGAAAUUCACACACCGCCACCAUUAUUGAACCUUAAGCUACCAAGUAGCAAGUGGAUUAGGCAGGAUCAAAAUCUCUGCAAUGUGAGCAAUAUGCAUUCCAAAGAAUCGUUGGCUAUAACAUUGUGUUUAGUUGUUAACAAGGUGAACACUACACUGAUGAAUGUGACGUCCUAAAAGCAAUUCCAAACAUAUUGAAGAACUUGUAUACAAGUGCUCCGUAUGCCCCGGUAAUCCAGACUACAAAUUUGUUGACAUGGUUGAAUCCAAAAAAGGAAAGCUGUUUUCAAAAAGUGGUAUUGAUGUUGUGGAUAGUUUUGAGCCAGUUAUUCUCGAUGGUACUACGUACCCAAAAACUGUACGAAACUCGAGGUGUCAAAGGAUUCCUUAAGAGGAAUAUUUCAUCGCUGGUCCAAACGAAAAUUAAAGUCUCCGAUCCGCAAGUUGUCAAAAAGUAGAGUAAAUAUUCGCUACUUGAGUACACCUGAAAAGUUUGCAAGAUUUGAGAGGUCGGUACCAUGCACAGUCAAAAGGAGUUGAGUGCCUCAGAGAAAAAAUUGUACAAAUGACUAAAAAGAACCACGUUGUACUAGAUUCAAGUUUGAGCUCGGAUAUUGUUCAGUUAAUGGACGGAAUGACAAAAAGUGUCCAUCAAGAAUGCCCAGAAGGCUCUUUUAAACGAGUCUUUUGGGACCAACAAUUAAAGUCAGUUAGAGUAACGGAUUCAAGGCAAGUUCGAUGGCACCCUGCGAUUAUAAAAUGGUGUUUACAUCAUUUCAUCUGCUUGUUACCAUGCCCUACGUGGCUCUGGUCUGAUAUCUUUGCCCUCAGAAAGGACAUUGCGAGAUUAUACCAAUUGGAUACGUCCUGGGAUAGGAUUUGUGCCUGAAGUUGAUGCUCAGUUAAUAAAAGAAGCACGUGUGUCUGAGGAAAAAGACAAAUUUGUAGUUCUUGUAUGGGAUGAAAUGAAGAUAUGUCAAGAUUUAGUUUUUAAUAAGCAUAGCUGCGAGUUGAUGGGGUUUUUGAAUAUUGGUGAUGUGAAUGCUCAACUGGACAAAGCUAGUGAAGAUUUAAACUCAAAUAGUAGCACACGUGUGAGGAAUGUUCUCAAACCUCGAGUUUCCCUAUGCCCACUUUGCUACAAGAGGAAUCACCGCAGAUGCACUGUUUCCAUUGGUUUAUAGACAUUUGGAGUGCUGUGGAUUAAAUGUUAUAGCUUUCUGCUCUGAUGGUGCCUCUCCUAACAGAAAAUUUUAUAAGAUGCACGAUAGAGGGAAUGGUGUUGUGAACAAGACUACGAAUCCUUUUCAACCUGAGCGAGAGAUAUAUUUUAUAAGUGAUGUACCCCAUCUGAUAAAAACCACAAGGAAUUGUUGGUCCAAUUCUUUUGGUCCAAUUCUUUUGCGAACAAGAAUUCUAGAGCCCUUUGGAUUAAUGGCAAGCACAUCAGCUGGGGCCACCUCAAACACUUGUAUGAGCGUACUAAGACUCAGUCGGGACUCCACCUUUACUUCAUAUUCAAGGAUGAAAGUGAACCUGGCAGCUCAGGUUCUAAGCGCAUCAGUUGCCAAUGCCUUCAACUAUUAUGGUGAUAGCGAGAUGGGAGAAACAACAAACUUCGUCCGUUUAUUUGAUCGUCUUUUUGACUGUUUCAAUGUGCGAAGUUUCAAGGAGAGUGUUGUAAAAAGAAAAGAAAACCAGAUUUAAGACCAUACCGAGACCCCUCCGACAAUAGACUGUCCUGGUUGAAAGAUACUUUUCUCAAGUAUCUGCAAGAUUGGCAGUACUCUGUCAAAUGCAGAAGUGGUUUUACUGAGCGAAAAUGCUUCUCUCUAUCCAGACAAUAGAAGGGUUUAAAAUAACAGGUAAAUAAUGCAG